rnacentral:rRNA from 1 species
GAUGAACGCUAGCGGCAGGCCUAAUACAUGCAAGUCGAACGAUAUGAAGUAGCAAUACUUCAAAAAGUGGCGCACGAGUGCGUAACACGUAUGCAACCUACCUAUCACAGGUGGAUAGCCCGAAGAAAUUCGGAUUAAUACCCCAUAAAACAGAUUCUUCGCAUGGAGAGAUUGUUAAAGCUGUGGCGGUGAUGGAUGGGCAUGCGACUGAUUAGUUAGUUGGCGGGGUAACGGCCCACCAAGACGAUGAUCAAUAGGGGGUCUGAGAGGAUGAUCCCCCACACUGGUACUGAGAUACGGACCAGACUCCUACGGGAGGCAGCAGUAGGGAAUAUUGGUCAAUGGGCGAGAGCCUGAACCAGCCAUGCCGCGUGCAGGAAGAAGGCCUUCUGGGUUGUAAACUGCUUUUAUCAGGGAAGAAAACGCUCUUGCGAGAGUAACUGACGGUACCUGAGGAAUAAGCACCGGCUAACUCCGUGCCAGCAGCCGCCGUAAUAC